rnacentral:rRNA from 1 species
GACGUAGGGCGCGAGCGUUGUCCGGAUUUAUUGGGCGUAAAGAGCUCGUAGGCGGUUUGUCGCGUCGAAUGUGAAAACCCGGGGCUCAACCCCGGGCCUGCAUUCGAUACGGGCAGACUAGAGUUCGGUAGGGGAGUCUGGAAUUCCUGGUGUAGCGGUGAAAUGCGCAGAUAUCGGGAGGAACACCGGUGGCGAAGGCGGUUCUCUGGGCCUUACCUGACGCUGAGGAGCGAAAGCGUGGGGAGCGAACAGG